UACGUAGGCAGCAAGCGUUGUUCGGAGUUACUGGGCGUAAAGGGUGUGUAGGCGGUUGUUUAAGUUUGGUGUGAAAUCUCCCGGCUCAACUGGGAGGGUGCGCCGAAUACUGAAUGACUAGAGUGCGGGAGAGGAAAGUGGGAAUUCCUGGUGUAGCGGUGAAAUGCGUAGAUAUCAGGAGGAACACCGGUGGUGUAGACGGCUUUCUGGACCGUAACUGACGCUGAGACACGAAAGCGUGGGUAGCAAACAGG
rnacentral:rRNA from 1 species